GAAUUUAAGAUUCAUAUAUAAAUAUAAUUAUUUUUCUAGAA
rnacentral:tRNA from 1 species